rnacentral:tRNA from 1 species
GUGGAUGUAGCUCAACUGGUCAGAGCGCCAGACUGUGGAUCUGGAGGUUGUGGGUUCGAUUCCCAUCAUCCACC